CAGUCGCCGCGGGAAUACGAAGGGUGCAAGCGUUAAUCGGAAUUACUGGGCGUAAAGCGUGCGUAGGCGGCUUCUUAAGUCGGAUGUGAAAUCCCUGAGCUUAACUUAGGAAUUGCAUUCGAUACUGGGAAGCUAGAGUAUGGGAGAGGAUGGUAGAAUUCCAGGUGUAGCGGUGAAAUGCGUAGAGAUCUGGAGGAAUACCGAUGGCGAAGGCAGCCAUCUGGCCUAAUACUGACGCUGAGGUACGAAAGCAUGGGGAGCAAACAGGAUUAGAUACCCCUGUAGUCCCUGUCUCUUAUAC
rnacentral:rRNA from 1 species